GUGAAUCAUCAAAUUUUUGAACGCAAAUUGCACUCUCUUCGGAGAGUAUGCCUGUUUGAGGGUCAGCCUAAAAAAAAUGAACAUAGUGGCUGUUAGGCGGUGACAUUCGUCGGAAAUUGGGUCAUGUUAAAACUUUGGGUUUAAGCGGCUUAAAAUGUUGUUUACGAUUACAAGAACGUUUCUAAGAUUUUAUUUUAUUAUACGUUUAAGGUAUCGAUCUUUAUUAGACGUGGCAGUUGAAUCGGAUCUCGUCCAUAAAU
rnacentral:misc_RNA from 1 species